AUACGUAGGGAGCGAGCGUUGUCCGGAAUUACUGGGUGUAAAGGGAGCGUAGGCGGGAGUGCAAGUCAGAUGUGAAAUACAUGGGCUCAACCCAUGGGCUGCAUUUGAAACUGCAUUUCUUGAGUGAAGUAGAGGUAAGCGGAAUUCCUGGUGUAGCGGUGAAAUGCGUAGAUAUCAGGAGGAACACCGGUGGCGAAGGCGGCUUACUGGGCUUUUACUGACGCUGAGGCUCGAAAGCGUGGGGAGCAAACAGGAUUAGAUACCCUGGUAGUCCGCGCUGUAAACGAUGAUUACUAGGUGUGGGGGGACUGACCCCUUCCGUGCCGCAGUUAACACAAUAAGUAAUCCACCUGGGGAGUACGGCCGCAAGGUUGAAACUCAAAUGAAUUGACGGGG
rnacentral:rRNA from 1 species